rnacentral:tRNA from 1 species
GAGAAAGAUUAUAAGAACUGCUAAUUCUUAGUUCCACACUUAAUACAUGUGGCUUUUUCA